rnacentral:rRNA from 1 species
GACAGAGGGGGCAAGCGUUGCUCGGAAUCACUGGGCGUAAAGGGCGCGUAGGCGGGAUGGCAAGUCAGUCGUGAAAUCUCUCGGCUCAACCGAGAAACGUCGGCUGAUACUGCCGUUCUUGAGGGAUGCAGAGGAGACUGGAAUUCCCGGUGUAGCGGUGAAAUGUGUAGAGAUCGGGAGGAACACCAGUGGCGAAGGCGGCUCACUGGCUCGGUACUGACGCUGAGGUGCGAAAGCGUGGGGAGCAAACAGG